rnacentral:sRNA from 1 species
AAUUCCUAAAUAAUAAGUGAUACAGUAUUCUAGUCAGCAUUCACUUUCUGAAGGCGGGCCUAAAAAUCCGUUAAGGGCACAACGAUGAAGUUCCUGGCGCUGGCUUUCGACGCCCAGUUGGGGGCUGGUACUGGGAGUUAAGGGGAAAGGGCAACCUGCAAUGGCAUGUGGGCAUUGACCCCGUCCCCGUGGAGACCCAAGUAUGUGGAGCGUUGGAGACGACAAACUACGGCUUGGUUGUGAACCUGCAUGUGGUAGGAAGCUGCGUGCAGUGUAGCCUGACUUGAAGUGGCACCGGUGGAUUCCUCUGGUACGAUCACAGAAUACGGGCCCGUAAUUUGUGAUUGUGGGAUGAAACCCUUGCUGCAAAAGAGUCUAAGAAAGAUGGAUGCUGUCGGGGAAAACUCCUAGGCUGUUCGGCUGCCGCCGGGGCAGGCCAGGGAUUAAAGUGUGGACUAAGUGGUAAUCUAGCCCUGAGCGCGGUGACGCCUCAGAUACGGUUUAAUGGGAAACCGCCGGUUUGGCGACAUCCGGUACCGUUAUGGGAAAACCUGCUGGACCUAAGCCACAACAUUUACCUGGUCUGCUGUCACUUAUUCAAAUUUCAUA